rnacentral:rRNA from 1 species
CAAAGGAGCAAUCCGCUGAAAGAUGGGCUCGCGUCCGAUUAGGUAGUUGGUGAGGUAACGGCCCACCAAGCCGACGAUCGGUAGCCGGACUGAGAGGUUGGACGGCCACAUUGGGACUGAGACACGGCCCAGACUCCUACGGGAGGCAGCAGUAAGGGAUAUUGGUCAAUGGGGGAAACCCUGAACCAGCAACGCCGCGUGAGGGAAGACGGUUUUCGGAUUGUAAACCUCUGUCCUCUGUGAAGAUGAUGACGGUAGCAGAGGAGGAAGCUCCGGCUAACUACGUGCCAGCAGCCGCGGUAAUACGUAGGGAGCGAGCGUUGUCCGGAUUUACUGGGUGUAAAGGGUGCGUAGGCGGCUGCGCAAGUCAGUAGUGAAAUCCAUGGGCUUAACCCAUGAACUGCUAUUGAAACUGCACAGCUUGAGUGAAGUAGAGGUAGGCGGAAUUCCCGGUGUAGCGGUGAAAUGCGUAGAGAUCGGGAGGAACACCAGUGGCGAAGGCGGCCUACUGGGCUUUAACUGACGCUGAGGCACGAAAGCGUGGGUAGCAAACAGGAUUAGAUACCCUGGUAGUCCACGCUGUAAACGAUGAUUACUAGGUGUGGGGGGACUGAACCCUUCC